CUCCCACCCAUCUUAUGCUCCCUCCCUCCCUCCCCAGGCCCCAGUGCAAAUACAGUUCCUUGCCGUGUUGGACAUGUGAUGAAAAAGUGACUGGUUCGCGCGCUCUGCUACACCUCCUAUUUCAUCAUCAGCCGAGCUUUUCUACCCCUUCACUGUAUGCAUGUCUGUCUCCUCCUCUCGGAUUCUCUCUCUCUCUCCCUCUCUCUCUCUCUCCCCCUCUCCUCGUCUUCUCUCUCUGAAUCGGUCGCUCCUCUCUUUCUGCUAGAGCCACACGCAAGGGGGAGACUUGAGCUCUGCGAGGGGAGAAAAAAAAAAAAGACAAAAAGUCUGCUGCUAUUUCUACAGUCAGGGCCUCCCCGCAGCCCGCCCUGCCAUAGAUGGAUCUUUUUUUUUUUUUACUCACUACUAGCUGGAUUUUAACCCUCUGCCUCCAACUAGCUGCACAGCAGCUCUGCAAAACCUGGCAACAAGUGGCUUUUUUUAGGGGCCCUUUUCUUACUUUUGGCACAUUGAUUUUUGCACCGCUCUGGAUUUUUGAUCACUUUUCUGCUUUUCUGUUGCUUAUUUUCUAAAACUGUACCUCAUUUUCCUCUUCUUUUUUUGUUUGUUUGUUUAGUUUUAUUAGUUUUUUUUUCCCCCUUGCUGGUUUUUAGCCAUGUUUAUUUGGUUUCUCUCAUUUUGGAUCAAAAUUUUCCAAGGUGGUGUUUCUCCAUCUGAUGGGCCUUGAUCCACCUGGAAUGCCAGGGGCGCCAUUUUUGACGGGUAACCUGUUUGUGGUGGUGGGCUUGUGGCCGGGAUGUCCAUGGAUGGCAGUCACAGAGUGACCAGUGUCUCAGUAGGGUAUACGUGUGCGUUUUAAAGGAGAUGUUUCGUAAUCCGCGACUGGCGUGAAGUACCGCACCUUGUUUGUAUUUACUCUGCUUCUCCUCCUGUUUCCUCUCCAUGUCCUCUCUCCUUCGCUGUCUCCUUGUGUCUCUUUCUCACUCUUGUUCUCUCUCUUUCACGCCGACUCGCUCUCGAGAGCAAAUGAGUGGUGCGCUGAGCCGGAGCUCUUACUGGGACAGGUGCCAAUUGCAAACAAAAGAAAUUAACAGGCAAUAAGCGAAGAAAAAAAAAGGGGGGGAAGCGAAUUUUCGAAUUGCAAGUUGUUGAGAUGUCACCAGUAGCUGUGCACGUUACGUCGCCGCAUGACCGGUUUGCAUUAUUGUUGCGUUACGUUAUCAAGUAUUAAAGUAAAACAGAGGUUUGAAUACUUUGCUUCACUUAUUCCAGUGAAGGCAUUUCACUUGAGAAGAGGGAGGGAGUAAUGUGAGAGAGAAGCAUAUAGACUUGUGAAUUAUUCAUGUGCUCAGCCAAGGCUGAGACUGGACUGGUUGUGCUAUUUGCAUGCAUCAGACAUGCUGUUUGUCUGUUUGCUAACAUUCCUCAUUCAAAGACUUGUUAACUAGCAGCCGGGCUUAGCUGGAGCCUCGCAGACAGCCUCAUGGCCUCCUAUUGUUUCAGGCCUCACCGGGCCUGGACCCAGCUGGUGGCAGGCAAGCCAUGCAGCCCUGAGCUUUGGGUUGAGACUGUGGUUGAAGGAGGGAUUUGUGCCUGGAGGUGAGACUGACGUGGGCACUGAGGCUGGAGCUGAGGCUGAGGCACGGCUGUGAACGGGACAUUCUGAGGGAAAUCAUGGGGUUAUGCAAGAAGCACCAAACUGGAGCUUAUGGCUUUCUCCUCUUCUUGACAGAGAUGUGGAUCAAAGCGGGAAGAGCUUCCGAACCUCACCGGACAUUUAGCGUCUUUGCUCUGGUAACUGGCAGUGAGACAGUUUUGAUCUCCAAGCGCAAACAGUUUUGGCCAGAGAGAGAAAUUAUGCAAACACACACUGGCGAUUAGUUGGGGCCGCAGGGCCACACUGGAAUGAGCUAAGUUUGCCUAAUCCAGCCCUCCUCACCUGGCAUGUUUAUGGCUCUGCUGCGGGAUGGAGGGGUUGGAGGGGUAUAAGUCAGUGGGGCCAGUUCAUCUUGCAGUCUUACAGGCAGACACACACUUUAACCACGUUGGCGUGAGUACAUGCACACUUGCACAUGUAUGCAUUUGCUCAUCUGCAUGCACAAACACCACAAGUGUCAAGUGCGUUCAGUGCACAUGCGCUAAUGUGUUCUUGCAGCAUCACAAACACGCGCUAUGCACACACUGUACAUUCAAACUUAUUGAUGUGAACUUUGAACUCCCUGUUCUUUCAUUCCUAACACACACUUGCACAAGGUUUGCAAGCUCAGUAUCUGCCUCAUGCAGAGGUGACGGGGAGGUCAGCCUGUCUGACUUUGAGCAGAAUCCCCCUGUGGCUUGCCCCAGCCAUUCCCCCUGGCAUGUGUAACAGGACCUGCCCAAGCAGCCUCUCCUCUUCCCCCAGCUCCUGUCCUCCUCCUACUGCUGCCUGCCCCUUGGCCCUGGUAUAAAUAGAUGGGUCAUGACUGCUGUGCUAUCUGUAUCGAGGGUGGUGGGGGGUGAAUAGUCCACCCUGUCUAUCUACAAGAUUCCUCGUGUCUGCACCACUUCUGCUGCAGCAGGACAUAAAAAGAAAAACAGGUAUUUCUGACCACAUCAUUUGUGACUAGAGACUGUACACUAAUGUCACCAUGUUGAGUGUGUAUGGGUGUACUUGCAAAGUUGAACUAUAGUGUAGUGUGUGAGUGAUCUUUUUACCCUGAAUACAAUGUUUUUUAUAGAUAUUAUUGUAUUUUCUUUUUUUCUUUUUUUUUUACCCAUCAGGAUUUUUGUACAUGAGGAAGACCCUCCAGUGGUGUAGUGGUUAACACAUAUGCUUGGGAAGUCAAAGGGCACUUGUUCAGUUCCAGCUGGAGACAUACAUCCCUUUCGGGCUUGUAUCUAGCAUCUAACUCUGACAAAGUAUGCAGAGCCGCCUGCUGUGGUGACCCCUUGUGGCAAGUAAGAAGCUUUUUGUUUUAUUUUAUUAUUCUUGAAGGUUGGCCUGGUAGUUUUUGGUUAUCAAACAAACGGUUAAAUGAAUGCUAUAGAAAACCUGUGUCCACAUUGACUUUCAGUACAGAUGAUGUAGUAAUUGUCUGAUUAGAUAUUAGCCAAUAAGUAAGCAUAUGAUUUCAAAUUUACCGCUUGAAAUUUCGUGCUACUUGCAGAUCUCGUCGGUUUGACUAGGUCACUGGAUAUGCAACAUAGUUGUACUUGUGCGUCGUAAACUUUAUUACAUCUUUGGCCAAAAGUUAACUAUUUGCCUCUAUACAUAAGUAUCGAAACACAAAAUGCAAAUUGCAUGACUUUAAUGAACUUUGUAGAUCCUUCUGAGUGCCAGAAAUAUCCCCUUGCAGUAAAAACUACAUUGCUAGUGCUACUGCACUGUCACCUCUAGCUUUUAUGGUGAAACAUCAGAAGUCAGUCUUGACUGUGACCAAAUAAAAGGCGAGAAGGUUUAAAUAUUGAUUUUACUGUUGUAGUGGUUUGUAUUAUCAUUUAUUUAUUUUAGGUAAAUGAAGAGCAUUUAAUAUAUGCUAACAUUUCUUUCUGUAACCAUCUUUUAUGUCGGUGAUACAAUGUUGUUGAGGUUAAUACUGCUGCCUCACAGCCAGAAGGUUCUGGUAAUAAACCACAGUAUAUUCAUGCUGGUAUGUUCUAUAAGCGCAGAAUAGAUGAGAUACAGUAAAGCUUUGAGUGGUCAGUAAAACGACAAAACAUGAUUGAAAUUUGUAAUUUGCAGGAAUGAAUAAUAAGAAUCUGAGGUUGGAUAUUACAUUAAAGUGGUCUUUAAAAAAAAUCUACCCACUCGCUGACCUUAAACCACCAGAACCUCAAAGAUCAGGUUGCAAGGUUAUAGCUGAACUGAUUGGCAAUGUAGCACUUAGACUCAAGUGUGAUUAAGUUAAAGUGAGUUUUUAAGCAGCGCCUAGCUUUGCUGUGAACACUGUGUGAAAAUAUGAUUAGAUAAAUCAGCAAAAUGUUUUACCUUACUUCCUUUUUCCAAGCUUAUGUGCAUGUGUUUCAAACUGUGACCUUCUGUAUGAGAUUUGGUUUCACGUGUGCAUCCAUAUAUGUGUUUUAUGGGACAUUGUGAAGCAAAGAUGUGCAGAAAGCAGAACUUGAGCUGAGGGAAGUGUGAGGCUGAAGCAGUACUUUAGUUACAGAGCCAGCUUGUUGAGUUUGCACGACAACCAAAGAAGAGUUCCAGAUUGUCCUCUAUAACUGCGGUAAAAAAAAACAAGUGUGCAACAUGAGUAUGGACCUGUGGGUGUGUGUAUAUAUGCUUGCAUUUCAUGUUAGUUCUCUACAGUACAUGUGCGUGGGUGUAAGCGUGAAUAUUUUCCUGUCACUGGAAGAUAGCAACUGGCUCUGACUUCACUUGAAAAUGAUAUUUUUCAUUAUUUAUUGGUCGGGACCCCAGGGUCAUAUACUAUAUUAGAUUAAAGUAUGUUCAAUCAGCAGAUGUAGAGGACAAUGUGUCUUGACCCUACAUUAUGAAGUCUGGGCCCCGCGCCACAGAGAGUUUUGCAGGACUGCACAAUAAAAUGAGGUAUAUGCUUUAGCAUACGGUUUUCUCUAUGAUUUAGGUCCUAAAAUCAUUGCAAGUUGAGCUCUGUAGUGGAGUUAAUUAUGCGAGCUCCGUUUGUCAUUACUAAAUGUGUGUGCAAAUGUAUAUGUGUGCUAACUGUAGGUUGCCAUAUUUCUUCUCUCAGGUUGUUUCUGUCUGCAAAGUAUCUGUUUAGUCCUUUUGUGUCUGUUAUACUGUACAGGUGUGUGCCUGCGCAUAUUUACAACCCACAGCUCUAUGGUGUAAGUAAGGUGGUGUUGAAUAAUGCAGGGAACCUCAGACUCACCACUGAGCAGACGCAAUGGGGCCUCUCAGCUCAAGACAUACUGCUUUGUAUUGUGCUGUGCUGUACACUUCUGUCUUCCCAGUACAUUAGAUUAUAUACAGUAAUCAGCCGACUGUAUGGCACAAAACACGCACAAUGGUGUGGUUUUAUCAAAGAACACAUGAGCAUGAACCGCACUGUAAAUAAAUAUAACCCCCAUAUACAAACUGCAAGCAAAGCCAGACACGUCUUCACCCAAAGGUCCAAAAUGCAGCGUUUGAACUGGCUGCAGUGUUUGCAAUUGAUCUCACAUAUGUCAAAUCUAAAAGUCAUCAUGCAGGAGUAUUUUUCUGUUUCCCCUUUUGUCUUUGUUGCAGAAGUAACAGAUUUUCCCUCUUGGGUUUUUCCACAUGGAGACUACCUGACAUGCUGCUGAAACCAUGAUGGAGGGAGGAGGUUAUAGGCCAGUGGGCCCUUCCAGCCCCUUUUCUCGAUGCAUGUUAUAUAGCAGGUGAGAAACAUUAACGGAGGCAGCAGCAGCUGCAGACCUCUGCUCCACACAUGUGGGCCAGGAUAUGAGCUAGCUUGAGCUCUCCCACUCUCAACUUUAGUGAGCAAGGUUAUCGCUCAGAACCACAGGAAACAGUGCUGCCAAACUGGAAACAGCAUAGCUCUGUUUAAUAUACGUUACUUUGAACACUGAUCUUAAUAGUAUAUAGGUUUGCCAGAACUUGAUCUAAAAUGAUAUUUGCUUAUUUGUCAUGUGACUGGCCACACCCACCCUAGCUUCUAAAAGCUAUGUGAUAUUUGUGAAUAUAAUAAUGUUUCUGAGUGUUUUUGAGGUUAGCGUGUUUGCUAUACAAUGUUCAUUAUGAAUAUACCAUUUAAGUUAUUUACUGGUUGCAUUUGAAUAUGGAAAUGUCUUGGCUGCGCAAUUUGCUUGAGACAUGUGUGCCUUGUUGGGUCAUUUGAAUUACCCCCCUCAGCCCGGGCCAUGAACCCGGAGACCCAGUUGUCACAUUGUGUUUUGAGCGCACAGACUCUGGCCGCGGUGGUGAGGUGUCCCAGAGGAGAGUGGCAUGUUUCUGUGAAUCAUAACCGCUGUUCUGUGUUCAGUGAGCCGUGUCAAAGCGGAUUACCUGCAUGAACGGGGACCUGAAAGGACUUUGUUUUUAAAGACUGUCCUUUGGGGUGAGGUAGUAGGUUGUAUAGUUUUAGGGUCGUACCCUUCCUGUCAGAUAACUAUACAACUUACUGUCUUUCCUGAAGUGGCUGUAAUGUCGUCAGAUGCCUUUGGUGGAGUGCACGGAUCCAGAUCGACGCACUGCUUGCUAACGGCUCAGUAGCCCGAGUUUGAUAGCAGAAAGUUAUUAAGGACUGUAGCCGCUUUGUGGAAGUCGUUGAUUGCCAAUAAAGUACAACUGUGUUUUCAUUGUAAGCAUUCAUUCUUUUUGUUUAAAACACAACAACAGCAAAAAUGUCCUCUUCAUAUCUCAGCAGACACUUUGCGCUGCAUAAUCGUUUCCAAAGGUUGCUCCUGUUUAGCCGCCAGUCUCUUUGUUCAUUUUCUUUGCACUUGUAAAAAUCUAAAAGAAAUCAUCACAAUUUGGGGGGUUUUAGUAAUUAAAACUCGACAAAAAUUUCAGUGUUUGCUUUUCAUGUAGGUAUGGUUUUUGUCAAAUUCUGUAUAUUCAUUUACAGAUUGUAUAUGUCAUCACAACGCUUUUAUCAUUACCAAAGAUUUUACCCAGCCUGUAGGCCCUUUACUGAUGUUCGUACGGGGUGAGGUAGUAGGUUGUGUGGUUUCAGGGUAGUGAUUUUGCCCAAUCAGGAGAUAACUAUACAACCUACUGCCUUCCCUGAAGGGCAGCAAUACUUCACCAUUCACACACAUCAGGAGGCAUUUUGUUCAUAUCAUUAAAAAAAACUCCAUAUUGACAAACUAAACCACAUGAAUCACCUGAGUCUAAGAAAUUUUAUACAAAGAUGUCAAAUCAGACGAUAGCAGCGGAAGGAACCAGCAGGUAAAGUCUGUGCAGUAAGGAAAAUGUCUUUGACUCAGAUUUUUUUUAUUUUUUUGCUUCAAAAUUAAUAAUAAAAAAUAAGGUGAUUGAU